UCGGGCGGCGCCUCCUGCUCCACCUCCUCCUGCUCCUGCUCCCGCUCCUGCUCCCGCGGCGGCGGCGGCUGCUGCCUGAGCGAGAUCAACAAGUCGGGGCUGAGCUUAGGCUCUGCGCUGGCUGCGAUUCUGUCCCGCACUUCGGAGCGCCUGGAGCCGGGCACCGAGGCGGGACGGCGCCACCUGCGGGUCGGAAGCGUGCGCGCCGCUUAACUCCUGCCUGCCCGGGCCAGCCGCCAGCUGCUUGUUGAGAGCUUACUGUGUGCCUGGUCCUGUACCAGGCUGGGGAAAGGAACCAUCUCCCCUGGAGUUCCUGUUCAGUGGAAGAGACAGGAGACAUCAAAUAAUCUCUAGCAAUGAAUAUAGAACCAAAGGAUUUACCUAAAGAGUGAUUCUUCCAGCUGCUGUGUGCAUUAUGGAAUGCUGGGGGACAAAGAUGGCAGCAAGAAGAAACCUCACAAGGCAUCUGUAACAGUCCGGGCCAGAGAUGGCCUGGGAACUCCAAGAUGUGAUGGAAAAGGAGCAAGUCAGCAAAAGGAAGAAAUCAAAGCUACAGAGAUCAAGAGCUAAUGAACUGAUUCUUGUAAGAUAUAUUUCAUUGACAUCCAGCUCUCCUGCCCUUUGGGGACUGAUAUCUCUCCUACCUCCUCUCCCCUGCCCUUGUCCACCUCUUCCCAGUCUCAUCUACCUCUUCUCUGAUCUUUCUCUCCUACUUUUAUUCUUCUUCCAAUGCAAUCUCCCCAGAGCUACGAGGGUAGGCCUUUAAGGGCAGAAGUCUGGCCCUGUCACUCCCCUUCUUAUAAACCAUCAUGACUCUUCACCAUGCAAGAUAAAGGACAAACUCUCCCAUGAUGAGGAAAAGACCACUUGUUCACUUAGGGCAUAUUUCCUGAGCAUCUACUAUGUGUCAAGCUCAUGUUGCAUGCUGGGAACACAGGAGUGAUAAAGCCAACCUACCCUCCAGUAGCUCACAUUCAAAUGAGAGGCAUAAACAGAGACAUUUAAAAAUAAUCUAAUAUUGAUAAUCACUGAGCAGGGAAUAAGAAAAGUAUGAAUGUAAGAACAAUGGAAAGGAGGGGGUGGUGAUGCUGCAAGUGAGUGGUAAAUCAGAGAAAACAGCAAGCCAUAAAGGAGCAGGGAGGGGCAUUCCAAGAUAAAAGUAGAAGGGAGAGCAGGUUCAAAGCCCUUGGGGCAGGAGGGUUGAAGGAAAUGGAAGAUGAUGGAUGUGGCCAGAGUGGAGUGUGUGAGGGCAAGAGUGGUUCAAGUAGGGGUAGGAGAGGAAAACAGAGGAGAAAGAUCAUGUAGGUGAGGGCUGUGGGAGGGUGUUUGGAUUUUAUGUCAAGCACAUUGGAGAAUUUUAAGCAGGGAGUAGCUGAUUUGAUUUUUACCUUCAGGAUGUAAAAGAUUGUUCUAAACACUACUGAGGUCUUGGUUUCUGCCAUGGCCUCUGAGUCUCCAGACUGAGGAUAAUACCUAACAAGCCUCGAGGGAGAGUGCUGGCCCUUCUGACACAGGGCCAGUGGGCUCUGAGGCUCCUCCCCAUCAUCCCCUUCCAUGGCGAUGGGGUGACUACUGAUGGCAUUUGGGAUUUUUGGGAGACAGUUGCCAGAUUUCUGCAUACUUCCCUAUUUCUCACAAGGAGAGGGUGUUUCUGUUUCCCCACAAACUUCGACAUAGAAACUUCUAUCUGACCCUUGCCUUGUCUGCUUUUCCAGCUUUCUCACUCACCAUUACAUCCCCACAUUCCAGGCAAAGAUUUUUCAACCUCUGGCCCAGUGAUAGCUGCUUCUCAAAGAUGGCCCCCCACGAACCUGCCUCUGGGUAGGCAAGCCUUGUCCCCUUCCAAUCCACAUUGACUCUGGGCUUUGCCAGCAGAAUACGGCAAAAGUGAUGCCAUUGCCAGACCUAAGCCCCAAAGAAGUUCUGACAGCAUCUAUUUUUGUGCUUUCGAGAGCUGAGCCAUAAGCAGGCAGCCCAAAUACCCUGCCAGGAGAGAACACAUGGAGGGGCCAUGUGAAAAGUGAGAAGCCCUGAAAUUAUAUAGGAAGAGAGAAGGGCUCAGCCAUUCUAGCAUCUCAGCUGAGCACAGCUUGUCAGUUGUCCCUGCCAAUGCACCAUGUUAGAUGUUGCUGCCCUACCUGGCAUCUGACUGCAACUACAUGUGAGACCCCAAGUGAGACCAGCAGAAGAACUAUCCAUCAAAGUCCUAGGCAACCCACAACACCAUGAGAAAUCAUAAAAAUGUCCCAUCUUAUUUGCUUAUUUUGGGGGCUGAAACUCACAACCUGGAGAUCAAGAUUACCAUGCUAUUCCAACUAAGCUA